GUGGCUAUGGUGUAAUGGUUAGCACAGAGGUUUGUGGAACCUUUAGCAUGGGUUCGAUUCCCAUUAGCCACC
rfam:Parcubacteria (Magasanikbacteria) bacterium GW2011_GWA2_56_11 TY92_C0004, whole genome shotgun sequence.